CAAGGCGUGGAAACAGCCUAAAUGUCCAAUGAUGGAUGAAUGGAUAAAGAAAGUGUGGUGUAUACAUACAGGGAAAUAUUUCUCAGGCUUAAAAAAAGAGAAAUCCUGCCAUGUGAGACAACAUGGAUGCACCUGGAGGACAUUAUACUAGUGAAAGAAGCCCAUCACAGAAGGACAAAUGCUGCCUGGUUCCACUUACAGGAGGGAUGCUGUCUUUGGGGAAAUCAAAGUCAAGAGAAUGAUCAGGAUAGUGAUGUUAUUUUCCAUUUAUAAAUGGAGGGAAAAAAAGCAUGUGAAUUAAAAAAUGACACCAUGCAGAUUACUCGGUACAAACCAUUUUCGCGGGAAAAAGCCUGAUGAAUGUGAAGAUGCACAGGAAGGUCCCUCUAGUGGAGUGAGGCUCUAGCACGUCUGCCAUAUGCUAUCCCUCUGUUUUUCUUUUCAUAUUCCUUAGGCAGAUUCCUUCGUUUCCCCAAGGAAAAGGGGGCUUCCUCAAGUUCGAAGCAGAAGCAAAACCUAACAACAGUGGCAGAAGGUAAAGGAACCCAGGGACCAAGUGCAGCAUGCCAGAGCUGCACACAUUCUUGGCAAUAAAAAAAAAAAAUGCAGAUUUUCUAGGUGGAAGUAAUUUCCAUGGAGCGGGCAGAGGUUCUUUGGCAGCUGCCCUCACAAAUAGAUUUUAGUUUUACUUUUGGACUUUUGGGUCACAGAUAUUUUCAACAAUAGAUCCAGUUGGAAUUGAAUUAAUAAACUCUUGAUAUGCAAAGAGGUCAGCCCUUGAAGUUCAGGUGAACAAUUAGCAUUCCCUUAGGUCGGCUCUGGUCUCGCUAAAGAGGAGUUUCAGAGGCCACCUAAGAGGCCAAGCAUGUCAGCACUUGCAGCCCGUGUUGUAAAAGCCAAGAAAAUGAUUCUCAACUCAGAGAUGACUGCAGAUAAGGCUGCUGUUUGAGGCAUUUUGAAAGUAAUAGUGUGAAAAGGGCCUUAUCUACUAUAAUUUCUGGCAUGUGGGGGAAAAAAAUGUAAGCUGCUCUUCCAAGUGCCUUAAGGAAUGGAAUUCAGAUUCAAAUCCAAGAAUAUUAAGAGACUCCAGAAAAAGCAGAUUUUCCCACACCUUUGCUUCAUUUCAGUUAAAAACAACGCUUGCAACGUUGAGGAUGGGUUCCAUUUUAUUGCUGGCAAUCGCUCUACAGCAGAAUUUAUUCUCUUUUUGAAAUGACAGAAGGGUCAAAAUAGAAUAUUUAUCUACUUUUAAAAGACACUAGCUUCUGUGUCUCCUGUCUUCUGUGUUCUAUUGUCUCUACUAUGAUGGUUUUAUCCCCCAGGGGACAUUUAGCCAUGUCUGGAGACACUUUUGGUUGUGUUGGGGUAGGAGGUACUGCUGGCAUCUAGUGGGUAGAGGCCAGGGAGGCUGCUAAACAUCCUAUGAUGCACAGGACUGUCACCACCACAAAGAAUCCACCCCAAAUGUCAGUAGUGUUGCUGCUGAGAAACCCUGGUCUCUUGGACACGUCUUCUUCCAUCCCCUACAUGCUCCUCCAGCAGCCAACUCCGUACCCAUGUAUGGAAAUGGAUGAUGCCAACUGU